rnacentral:miRNA from 1 species
CGAAUAUCUCGCUAAGUCUGAGA